rnacentral:rRNA from 1 species
AUUGAACGCUGGCGGCAGGCUUAACACAUGCAAGUCGAGCGGAGAUGAGGUGCUUGCACCUUAUCUUAGCGGCGGACGGGUGAGUAAUGCUUAGGAAUCUGCCAGUUAGUGGGGGACAACAUUCCGAAAGGAAUGCUAAUACCGCAUACGUCCUACGGGAGAAAGCAGGGGAUCAUCGGACCUUGCGCUAAAUGAUGAGCCUAAGUCGGAUUAGCUAGUUGGUGGGGUAAAGGCCUACCAAGGCGACGAUCUGUAGCGGGUCUGAGAGGAUGAGCCGCCACACUGGGACGGAGACACGGACCAGACUCCUACGGGAGGCAGCAGUGGGGAAUAUUGGACAAUGGGCGGAAGCCUGAUCCAGCCAUGCCGCGUGUGUGAAGAAGGCCUUUUGGUUGUAAAGCACUUUAAGCGAGGAGGAGGCUACUAGUACUAAUACUACCGGAUAGUGGACGUUACUCGCAGAAUAAGCACCGGCUAACUCUGUGCCAGCCGCCGCGGUAAGAC